UACGUAGGGUGCGAGCGUUGUCCGGAAUUACUGGGCGUAAAGAGCUCGUAGGUGGUUUGUCGCGUUGUUCGUGAAAACUCACAGCUUAACUGUGGGCGUGCGGGCGAUACGGGCAGACUGGAGUACUGCAGGGGAGACUGGAAGUUCCUGGUGUAGCGGUGGAAUGCGCAGAGUAUCAGGAGGAACACCGAUGGCGAAGGCAGGUCUCUGGGCCGACUACUGACGC
rnacentral:rRNA from 1 species